rnacentral:lncRNA from 1 species
ACUUUCUUUUAAUGACUUUUUGGCUCAGAGCCCAAACUGGAUCAAAGACUCCCUGGGGGGAGGACAACAGGACUGUGCGUUCAUUGUGAGACACUCAUGGAGGCUGGCCCAGCUAGAGAAGCCUGGGAAGGACUCCUUCUUGUCUUGGGAUCUUGGCAUCAAAGGAAAGGGGAGCCCUCCUCAGGAGCAGCUGCACCAAAGCUGGCUCUUGAAGAUGCCUUGAGGGCCUGGAAAACACACCUGCUGGUGGCAGCCUGGAGCAGUUCAGUGGGUGUUAGCCUGGUGCCACAUAGUUUCAGGAUGGCUGCUGCAGCUCUGGACAUCAUAUCUGAAUUCCAGCAGGAAAGAAGAAGAUGGCCAAGAGAACUCUCCUUUCACACCUCUCCCUUUUAGGAAGAAGCAAAAUCUUUCCCACAUGUCCCCAACUCCCUCCCCACACUUUCCCUUCUAUUUCAUUGCCUGGAACUGGGUCAGUGGCCACCUAGAGCUGCAAGGGAGUCUGGGAAAGAAAAGAUCUGGCAAAGGGGUGCAGGACCAUCAAUGACACAAGAUUCAUGCCCUGGGUCUAGGCACACUGCUGUUUUGAAAAAAAUCGGGAUUCCAAUGGCCAGGAAGAGGAGGGGGAGGGCCAGUCAAAAUGUCUGGCUCUUGUGCCCAUGUGGCCACGAGCUCCAUCCUCCGUCCCUCCUCCAGGGGGCAACGUGAGGACAGAAGACACAGAAGGCACAGGGAUUUGAACUUCCUGGGGAGGGGGGACAGGGUCCCCAAAUUCCCGUGCAGCUGUGCCCAUAAAGGUAGCAAGCCCCGCCAGAAACAAGCCCGCUGAAGACAGCUUGAGGGAAGCAGGAGGGGGCCACUACCCGGCUGUGCCCACCCCAGGCACCGGAUCUUGGCCAUGGCGUCUUGUGUCCCCAAACCCACCUGGUGCUGCAGUUGUCAGCCUUUGUUUCUUCCCACCCUGACGCAUCCGAUGGUGGCAUUCCCGCGGCAUCCUGCUCCACACCAGCCCCUCACCAAGACUUCUGUCUGCCCGCGCACGGUGAUUUCACAGGGUGGCCUGGAAUCCCCUUUCACUGUGGAAAAACAGGAAGUCACUGAAAGCUCAGAUGCUUUCGUGUGGCCCCUCUCCGUGGACCCCGUGCCCCUGGGGGCCACUUGGAGCCGAGAAGCCCUGAGGCGGCUGCACUUUAUGGAGACGAUUUGUUGAGGACAGCUGGCUGUCAGGCACCUUCUGCAAUCAAAGUUGACAUAUCUGCUCCUCAAUGAACAAAGCCUGAGGAUGGAGAGCAAUGGCUGAGCCCUGACGGUGGGGCUUGCUCACCAGGGUCCGGUCUUUCCACUCUGGGGACUGGGGACAGUCCUUUUCUUGGAGAUGUGUCCCUAUUCUGGUUUUGUCCAGAAGCCUCCUCUUCAGGGUGUUGCUGGUGCCCUGGGAGCCCCUGAGCUCUCAUCCAGUCCAUGGGUUCUGGGGAGGGGCCCCUCCUGUGGCGAGGCCCCUGUCACCAUGUGCACAACAUUUGGAGUCCCUGAACCUGUGGGCGCCCCAAGCUGCCCUUCGGGCCAGCCCAGCCAGCAGCUGUCGUGAGUUUCCUUCCUUCCCCGCCC